GAAAUAUGUAGAUUUAAGGCUAACUCGUAGUUUCGUGUUCUUGGGAGUUCUCAUCCACAGGACUUUGAUGCAAUGAUAACGUCUGACAGGCAAUAUGUACCUAGGACACCAAUAACACGUCUAGUAAAGAACAAAGAGUACCAAAGCUUCCAACAUAUCGUUUGGCCCGAAAAGUCCGUAUCCUAUGUAAGUCGCCGUAUGGAAAAUCGUGCCGGAGGAGGAAUACUCUCGAAUGACAAUGAUAGUUGUGCACCAUAACAGCGUCAUUCUUUGGUCGCAGAGCAACAACACUCCACAACAUGGCUUAAAUGAUGCUGUGAUCGAGCUCUACCCUUUAAAAAUCUUGCUUAGUAAGUUUAAGGAAAUGUAAGAUGCUUUUUCAGUCAUCUGUCUCCUUCAAACCUUCCGAGGGAACUCUACGACUCAAGAGGAAUUGCUUCGGUAGCUGACUUCCUUCCCCUUCCAGGGCUGUGACUUUGAUACUUUCACAAAGCAGACAGCUAAUCUCAACCACAAUUUUGAGUGCGAGAAUAUUGGAUAAAUGAAAAUUCGUUUAUGAGCUUUUUUAAUCUGAUUUACACUGAAAAGAAGGCAGUCAAUUUUGCUAAAUGAGAAAAUUAAAGCGAUGGCACGUGUAGAAUAGUUUUUCAAUAAAAGUUACUAGUUUAAAUAGCUCAGCAGCAAAACGUUUUAACGAGACAUUUUCUUAAUUACAAGUUAUUACCAGAGUAAUAAUAUAUUUGAUACCAACAACUGAUUUGAUGAGAGACAUUUAAUAAUGAAAAAAAGGCAAAAAGGUCACAAAAUACAGAAACUUAUCUGUAAUAGGCUGGUGAGAAACUAAAUUUUGUUGGCUUCAUAUGAAUCAGAUCUAAUUUGGUUGACUUGUUGACUUGUUAAGAAAGCUGUUCUUUGAUUGGUGUAUGGUUGAUUUAAAUUCUAGAUAUGUUAAAAUAAAGAAGUACAUAUAUAUA